rnacentral:rRNA from 1 species
UUGGAGGGCAAGUCUGGUGCCAGCAGCCGCGGUAAUUCCAGCUCCAAUAGCGUAUAUUAAAGUUGUUGCAGUUAAAAAGCUCGUAGUUGAAUUUCGGGGUCAGUAGGUCGGUCGUGCCACUGGUAUGAACUGGUUUUACUGAUUCCUCCCUCUUGAAGAACUGUAAUGCCAUUAAUUUGGUGUUGCAGGGAAUCAGGACUGUUACUUUGAAAAAAUUAGAGUGUUUAAAGCAGGCUUUAGCUUGAAUACAUUAGCAUGGAAUAAUGAAAUAGGACGUUUGAUCCUAUUUUGUUGGUUUCUAGGAUUGACGUAAUGAUUAAUAGGGAUAGUUGGGGGUAUUAGUAUUCAAUUGUCAGAGGUGAAAUUCUUGGAUUUAUUGAAGACUAACUACUGCGAAAGCAUUUGCCAAGGAUGUUUUCAUUAAUCAAGAACGAAAGUUAGGGGAUCGAAGACGAUCAGAUACCGUCGUAGUCUUAACCAUAAACUAUGCCGACUAGGGAUCGGAUGAUGUUAAUUUUUUAAUGACUCAUUCGGCGCCUUACGGGAAAC